UGUUCUAUGGCCGAACUGGUAAAGGCAUUGCCGAUCACAGGGAAGGUUGCGGGUUCGAGUCCCGCUGGAACGG
rfam:Operophtera brumata OBRT01_Sc01206, whole genome shotgun sequence.